AACUUUCGGCAACGGAUCUCUUGAAUUUUGUUUUGAUGAAGAACAUAGUGAAAUGUGAUAACUAAUGUGAAAUGCAGAGUAUUGUGAAUCAUCAAGUCUUUGAAUUAUCUUUCAGUCUCUUAAGGAGAUAAUUAUAUGUCAAUAUCAAUGUUUGGUAUGUCAGUGGAUUCUGACAAUGUGACUAUAUUAGUAAACAUAGUUGUAAAGCAUAGUUAAAUGCGUUAUGUGCAACCAGAUAUCUUUGGUUUGUGUAAUGGGUUUGAAAAACAAACGUGAGUGUUCAACAAUGAUGUGAAUGCAACGUUUGUACUACACAGUUCAAUCUGUUUAGAUUUGAUAUAUGAUGGACUACCCGCUGAACUUAAGCAUAUCAAUAAGCGGAGGCU
rnacentral:misc_RNA from 1 species